UACAGAGGUCCCAAGCGUUGUUCGGAUUCACUGGGCGUAAAGGGUGCGUAGGUGGUCGGGUAAGUCUGAUGUGAAAUCUCCGAGCUUAACUCGGAAAUGGCAUUGGAUACUAUUCGGCUAGAGGGUUUGAGGGGGGACUGGAAUACUUGGUGUAGCAGUGAAAUGCGUAGAGAUCGGAAAGAACAUCAGUGGCAAAGGCGUCGACCUGGGUCCAGACUGACACUGAGGUGCGAAAGCAUGGGGAGCAAACAGG
rnacentral:rRNA from 1 species